CACCAGCUCCACGAGUGGCAAUCGUAUUUAUUUGGUCUAAAGCGUCCGUAGCCGGUUUAAUAAGUCUCUUGUGAAAUCAUUGAGCCUAACUCAAUGGUGUGCUCGAGAUACUGUUGGACUAGGAACUGGGAGGAGUCAGAAGUAUUUCUGGGGGAGCGGUAAAAUGCUAUAAUCCUAGAAGGACUACCUGUGGCGAAAGCGUCUGACUAGAACAGAUUCGACGGUGAGGGACGAAAGCUAGGGGAGCAAUCCGGAUUAGAUACCCCAGUA
rnacentral:rRNA from 1 species